UACAGAGGUCCCAAGCGUUGUUCGGAUUCACUGGGCGUAAAGGGUGCGUAGGCGGUCGGGUAAGUCUGAUGUGAAAUCUCACAGCUUAACUGUGAAACUGCAUUGGAUACUAUCCGGCUAGAGGAAUGGAGGGGAGACUGGAAUACUUGGUGUAGCAGUGAAAUGCGUAGAUAUCGAGAGGAACACCAGUGGCGAAGGCGAGUCUCUGGACGACUCCUGACACUGAGGCACGAAAGCUAGGGGAGCAAACAGG
rnacentral:rRNA from 1 species